rnacentral:rRNA from 1 species
CCAGACUCCUACGGGAGGCAGCAGUGAGGAAUAUUGGUCAAUGGGCGGGAGCCUGAACCAGCCAAGUCGCGUGAGGGAAGACGGUCCUAUGGAUUGUAAACCUCUUUAGGCGGGGAGCAAUGCCGGGCACGUGUGCCCGGAGGGAGAGUACCCGCAGAAUAAGCAUCGGCUAACUCCGUGCCAGCAGCCGCGGUAAUACGGAGGAUGCGAGCGUUAUCCGGAUUUAUUGGGUUUAAAGGGUGCGUAGGCGGGAUGCCAGGUCAGCGGUCAAUUGCGGGGGCUCAACCUGCGUCCGCCGUUGAAACUGGCGUUCUUGAGUGGGCGAGAAGUACGCGGAAUGCGUGGUGUAGCGGUGAAAUGCAUAGAUAUCACGCAGAACCCCGAUUGCGAAGGCAGCGUACCGGCGCCCGACUGACGCUGAAGCACGAAAGCGUAGGUAUCGAACAGGAUUAGAUACCCGGGUA